AUACAGUUCUGAUAUUAAGUGUUGAAGUAUAGACCCUCUGCCACUGGCUUUUCAAUAGUGGCAUCCUUCUGUGACUUAAAUCUUUUCCCAUUAUGGUCCUAAGUAUCAUUUUUAUGUAGAUAAUACCCAAUUAAUUUUUCUCGUCUUACAAGUCUGUCUGCAGCAAUCUCUGUAUGGUCAGCUUCCAUGUAUGAGGUCAUUAAUAGGCUCAGAAGAAGUAUUAAUGGAAAUUUCUGAAACUCCCUUAAGGUUUACUGAUGCAGAAUUUGACUUAUUUAUCUUAGAGAUAGUUGUACUGAGGUGAAAUAAUUUCUGAGUACAAAACUGGACAGAAGGUGAUGUAGAAAAAGUAGUAUUUUUUAUGAUUAAUUUUUCCUAUGAUAUUUUAACCUAGCCUUUUUUUAGGAAGAGGCUUUUAGAAGAUAAAUCCUUUGUGGGCCAGAAAGUAAAAAUCAUUUCCACCUUCACCAUUCCCUAGGUGAUAUGAAUCAGAGACAGCAAUAUCAAACAAAAAUCAAGUGGAAAUCUCAAACAGAUACAAGCGGAGGCUAAAUAAUAUUUGAUGUGGACACAGGACCCCAGGCCUUAGGUAACCUGAACAUGCUGCCUGUGGUGCCCUGGAUGACGACCGAGGUGGCCUACAUAACCCAGGGGACUUUCUGACUGUGAGCGCAGCAAGUAGAGCUGUGGGACAAAGGGAAACAGAGAAACUGACUGUGGGAAUAGCAUUGCCAGAUGUGCUAGUAAACAACUGGAAAAAUACUUAUUUUUUGUAAGUGCACUCCCUGAACUAUUUACUUACAGUGAUUGCAGAUAAUGCUUGCUUAGAAAGGCAUCUGAGACUUUUCCUCCUAACCCCCUCCCCUAGUACAGCACCCGUGCGUGGGCCUAAGGCUUAAUAUAGGAAUAGUCCCCGUUAAGUUGAUGAAGCUACCCGGGGCCGUGCUUAGCUUCAGGCAGAGGCACGUGCUGGAUGGAAGCUGCUACUCCAGCCCUUUGCUGGGUUGGUGUCAGCGUGUUUGCAAACCCCCUCAUGGGCCUGAUCCAAAAUCUGGGCUUAUAACUCCAGAGUAGCCGGGCAGACCACCCCAGCGCGGACAGGAGCAGCGCUUUACCUCCUCUAUCGACCGCUCUGACUGACUCGAGAGCCUCCCCCUGCGCAGUGCCGCCUCCACCGCUUUUGCCCCGGCUGCUUCCACACAGUGGCCGCGCAGCCCUGCAUCCCCGCGCGCAGGUGGCUCGGCACUCAGCACCCCCCGAACACGGGCUGUACCUUUCUUCUCCCCCGUAAACGGUACAAAGUCUUCUCUGUCUUUGUGCUCCAGCGCUUGCUUCUCCAGGUACGAAAGGAGGCGUUCCCUGUCGAAGGGGCCGGUGGCAGCUUUCGUGGUCUGAUCCUUCUGCCGGAAGCCCGCGGGCAGCAGGGCGUUCUGCGAGCACACGGGAAGGACGGGGACGGACACACAGGACAUGAGGCAGGUUCACACGGCGUCCCACAUUUAAUUUCAGGGGGGUUUUUUAAGUGAAACUAUUCUUUGUGUCUUACUUCACAAAAUGCUCUUUGGUGACAGCAGUUAUGCACAUUAUUCAAAUGUAAUCAUUAAAAACAGUAUCUUCUCCAGGCUUCUCACUUCUGCCACCUCGGAAUAUUAUCAUUAACCAUAUUUACAAUCCUAGCACCAAAGAACUGAGCAAGAUAAGAAUCCUUUGUCUUGUGCCUCCUACAACCGCACAGUUUAGAUCCAGACCUCAGAAAUGAACGGAAUGUGCAGAAAACCACUGCUGAGUUACGCGGAGCGUGCAGGGAGCAAGCCGAGGGAGCGCCGCGUCGGCCAUGCAGCUGGGCGGCCGUACGACUGCACCUGCAUCGCGCGAGGCAGCAGCAUGCUAAAGGCUCCACAUUUCUGCUCAGGAAAUGCCAGAAAGGCAUUUCUGGCAGACCAGGCCAGAGGUCUUUAGGCACUCUGCAAUAGUCUCCUCAAAUAUCCAAAUUAUCCUGGUUUUCUAGAACAUGACAGCUCUGUAGCUGAGUCUUCCUUUCCUAAAUCAUGCCUAAAUAUAUUCUUUUCAGUUAAAAACGUGUUGAAUGACAUAGUCAACAGAUUUCAGAAGUUCAAAAGAUCCAAUCUUCACAAACACCCAUUAAGUUUGUUUAUUGCUGUGCUCAGAAAUAGCCACAUAAAGCAUCUCAUCCUGCUGCCAUGUACAAACAUGAUUAAAGAUUUACAGCUCAGACAAGCUCGUGCCUAAAUAGAUGAGGGAUGGAGGGGGCACUGCAACUUGUACAAAAGCAAGUAGCCCAUCACAGCAGGAGUAAAACCAAAAUGCCCCUAGCUGAGCCGUUCGUCCUUCAGAGCACACUGCUUCUCCCGUGGCAUAAUGCAAAUACAAAGUGCUGCAGAACGUGGCAUUUGUAGUCAAUAGCAUUUGAAAUAUUAGUCCCCUGACCCCCACUACUAACCUCAGGA